AUGAAGAACGUAGCGAAAUGCGAUAAGUAAUGUGAAUUGCAGAAUUCAGUGAAUCAUCGAAUCUUUGAACGCACCUUGCGCCCUUUGGCUAUUCCGAAGGGCAUGCCUGUUUGAGUAUCAUGAACACCUCAACUCUCGUGGUUUGCUACGAUGAGCUUGGACUUUGGGGGUUUUGCUGGCCUGUGGUCGGCUCCUCUCAAAUGAAUCAGCUUCCCAGCGUUUGGUGGAGUCGCAGGUGUGAUAACUAUCUACGCUUGUGGUUUUUCGCCAGAUAACCUUUGGUGACGGAGGUUCGUUGGGGCUCAUAAAUGUCUCUCCUCAGUGAAGACAGCUUUUGAACGUUUGAUCUCAAAUCAGGUAGGACUACCCGCUGAACUUAAGCAUAUCAAUAAGCGGAGGA
rnacentral:misc_RNA from 1 species